GUUCCGUAGGUGAACCUGCGGAAGGAUCAUUAAUAAUAAAGUGUUUUAUGGCACUUUUUAAAAAUCCAUAUCCACCUUGUGUGCAAUGUUAGAUCUCGUCAAUCUUGGCGAGAUUUUUAUACAUCAACUCAUUCUUUAACUAAUUUGUCUGAAAAAUAUUAUGAAUACUUAAUUCAAAAUACAACUUUCAACAACGGAUCUCUUGGCUCUC
rnacentral:misc_RNA from 1 species